UACGGAGGGUGCAAGCGUUAUCCGGAUUUACUGGGUUUAAAGGGUGCGUAGGCGGGCUUUUAAGUCAGCGGUGAAAUCUCCAGGCUCAACCUGGAGAUUGCCGUUGAUACUAUUAGUCUUGAAUUAAGUUGAGGUGGGCGGAAUAUGUCAUGUAGCGGUGAAAUGCUUAGAUAUGACAUAGAACACCGAUUGCGAAGGCAGCUCGCUAAACUUAUAUUGACGCUGAGGCACGAAAGCGUGGGGAUCAAACAGG
rnacentral:rRNA from 1 species